rnacentral:lncRNA from 10 species
AUAACUCAGAACAGGCUGCCAGCUGUGUUUCCUCAGCUGCAGUGCAAGUGGGGCAUGCUCCGUUGAGACUUUAUUCACUCUGGGCAGUUUGUUGAAGAUUAGGUGGUCAGCUCACAAUGAAUCAUAAGCUGCUUUUGUCCCUUGCUGUCUAGAUGACCUACCCAUAGAAGAGAAAUCUGGCAGUCUGGCCACAGCAGCUUUGCUGACCUGCAGUGGGAUCCGACCAGUUGGAACUUCCCAGCGGCUUUGUUUACACUGUGAGCUGUGGAGCAUAAAACUGCCUACUCAAGCCUCAGCAAUGGUGGACGCCCCUCCCCACACCAAGCUCAAAUGUCCUGGGUAGAUCUCAGACUGCUGCUGUGCUGGCAGUGAGAAUUUCAAGCCAGUGGAUCUUAGUUUCCUGGGCUCCGUGGGGUUGGGACCUGCCAAGCCAGACCACUUGGCUCCCUGGCUUCAGCACCCCUUUGCAGGGGAGUGAACGGUUCUGUCUCACUGGCGAUCCAGGUGCCACUAGGGUAUGGAAAAAAAGAACUCCAGCAGCUAGUUCACUCACUGCCCAAAUGGCCGCCCAGUUUUAUGCUUGAAACCCAGGGUCCUGGUGGGGUAGGCACUGGAGGGAAUCUCCUGGUUUGUGAGUUGUGAAGACCAUGGGAUAAGCGCAGUAUCUGUGCUGGAGUUCCUCAGGCUCAGUCCCUCAUGGCUUCCCUUGGGUAGGGGAGAAAAAUCUCCCGAUCCCUUGCGCUUCCCAGGAGAGGCGAUGCUCCGCCCUGCUUCAGCUCACCCUCGGUGGGCUUCACCCACUGUCCUACCAGUCCCAGUGAGAUGAACCGGGUACCUCAGUUGGUAAUGCAGAAAUCACCCACCUUCUGCAUCGAUCUCACUGGGAGCUGCAGACCGGAGCUGUCCCUGUUUGGCCAUCUUGCCACAGGAUCAUCAAAGAUUUUAUAUGCAUACACAUACAUAAAUGUAAAAUCUAUUUUAUCUUCUUUUACACUAAGGCACUUGAAUUUGGAUUAUUUUAUACUUAGCAAUAUAGCUUGAAAGUUUUUUAUAUUAGCUUAUACAGAGUUUUGUUGUUGUUGUUGUUUCUUCAGCUGCAUAGUGCAGCAUUCCAUUGUGUGACUCUAUUAUACUUUAGCUAUUUGGGGUAUAUCUUAUAUUAUUAUACAUGAUGCUGCAAUUAUAUUUUGGAGUUGCCAUAUUAAAAUGCAUUGCUCUUCCUUGACAUUUGUCUUAAUCAACAUUUCUAACAGCAAUGUAUGAAUGUAACUGUUUCUUCACAAUUUAGUCCACUUUGUUCAUUAUCAAGCUUUUGUAUUUUUCAAAUCUAAUAAAUUAAAAAUGGUAUCCCAG